UGUAACGCAAUCUGGUUCGUUUGUCUGCGGCUGUGACGUUGUCAACGAUGGGGGUCCACGCAACGGGAGCCACCCAAUAAAAAUUCUACGGCAGCCUCAACGAAACAAACAAUACUCAGCAAUGUGAAGCAGGUUACGUCAAAAACCGCGACUGUGGUCGAAUCUGAACUGGUGCAGUUGACGCUGACAUAACGAAAUGUAGAGGCAGUUUUCAUUUAAUUACCAACAGGGUUAUACGUGUUAUAAUUAAGAUUAUCUUUGAAUUUUUGAUAGUACUUAUAGAACCGAAAACGCUGCCAUCAAAGUUAGUGCGGGGAGGGAAUUAUUUACAGUGAUUUCACUGAUGUUCUAAAGAUGAACAGUGAUUCAUUUAAAGGGAAUGAUUUACAGUGAAAAUUAUCCAGUGAGAAUAUAGUUGACCUCCGAUAAUCAUAAGUAAAUCGAAACCCGCUAAUCAAAGAUACCGUUUUGAACUGAUUCAAGCUAUACAGACAGAAAUCAGUUUUAGCAAUUUUGAGGUAUUUUCGAACAGAGUCCAAAACUGAGAAUCAGAGCAAGAGAUGGCGCGUGAUUCGGAUCUUUACUACCGCCCGAUACGUCAUUCCCAAGAAUUCAAGAAAUAUAAUCCACCGCUAUACCAAACCUUGCUCAAAAAUUGUAAGCUUUCAGUCUCGGUCGACAGCUUCACAGCUUUAACUCUAGGCCGCCUCAGCACAACGCCUUACAAGCAUAAUUUGGACCUGCAUUAUUUAUACGAGCUUAUUUGAUUCUGUGUACACGACUGGCAUCGCGAGAUUCCUAGUUAAUCGAAUUCAGGAAACGUCUGUGGAACGACGUCAACGACUGUUCUCUCUUUCAGUGUAUUUAUUAUUUAAGUCUGACAAUGCUACUGCGAAGUUGUUAGUAACAUACACGUCCGUAUUUUACAAUAUCCGAUUAGAAAGCCAAUGAUUCGUCUGUCAUUUACAGUAUAAAGAAGCAUAGAGAACGUCACAAAAUACGAACAGUUAGGCAUAUUUGUAAUCAGCUUAACAGAGAACACUGUUGCUACCGCGUAAAUGACUACGAUUGCCCUACGACAGCAAUAAAUAUUUUCUUUUGACAGACGAAAGGACCGUGAUAUACAGCGUUUAACUGUUAUCGUAAAUAUUAAGUGAAAUGUGCUGGUCUGCAUCUAUAUAGGAAAUCAUUUGUAGCGUAUGCACAAGAGAAUGAGCAAAGUUACUUUAAGCCACACAAAAAACGUAGCCAGCUCGCUCGUUAAGCAUACCUAUAUUGCUUAUCGCAAAUGGCAUAAUAUGCUGCCAUUUAUAACACGUUAGAUAAACUAGGCUGCUUAUUGCGAGUCCUAUUCAGAACUCUUGUCUGGAUCGCACUAUACCUAAUUAUCUACUACCAUGUUUAGUUCCUGGGGACGGAGAGCCGACAAGCCGAGAAAAAAAUCGGUUCCAUUAUCGUCUCCUACACAACUACAGUGAAAGUUACCGCACAAAUACCGGCGUCCGAUGUGUUGAAUCGCAUGAGAAAUGUCAUUUAGCCGUUAUUAGGACACCAAUAAAUUUGACUGUUGUUUUCGCAGUUACUACAAUUGUAUCCUAACGCCAGAUAACUUUUAUAAUCAUUAUGGAAACCUUUCUAGUUGCCGCUAGCAAUAUAUAUAUUUUAUAAUAACAUAAUAGAAAG